CUCAUGCCACCCUAAAAAAAUUCUCUAGAUCCGCCCCUGAGCCUAUAUCCUGCCUCUUGCUUUAUUUCCGUCCUAGCGUUUUAAAGACGCACGUCGUGUACUAACAAACCUAAUCUCUCCCGGAAGUCGAUAUGUGUGGAUAUCUUUUUUAAUUUUUUAAUUGAUCUACCAAGGAUUAGCGGAUGGAUGACAUUUCUCCUUUUUUUGGCAAUCAUCGCCACAGUUUAUCGUCCCGAUGUCACUCGGUGCUGCGCAGGCUGUUAGUCCUGAUGGUAGCGCUUCUGCGCACAGAUGUAAUAGCUCUCCAGGUGAUUGGUGGAAGCGUGACAGUGGUUCAAGGAGGCACCGCUAUCCUACCGUGUCAUGUCAUUGAUACCAAUGAUGACCUGACACAGAUUUCCUGGCAGAGGAGGACAAGAGAAAAACCUCGCAAUGACAAUUUCCUCACUAUCUUACCCAGAGAGGGAGCGCAGUUUGUCAAUGGAGGUGAUGAUCGAUUUAAAUAUAUCGGGAAUUUUAACAACAAAAUGGAACUCUUCAGUUAUCCAAUGUUGCCCUGAAGGAUGAAGGCAGAUACACGUGCAUCUUCACCUUUUUCCCAGUGGAAAUCAGAAGACUGAGAUACCUCUAAAGUUGCUUGUGCCUCCUUUCACAAACGUGAAGGACAACCUUCCCACUUUGGGCACAGAAGAGGUUUUAUUUGCUACCUGCACGGCUGCUGGAUCGAAGCCUCCUGCAGAGGUGAGGUGGCUCACUGGUGCUUUGGGAGACAAAGUGAGGACGACAACAAACUCCACACAUUAUGACAACGGUACAACUACCACAGUCAGCUCAUUGUUUGGUGUACCCACGAGAGAGAUUAAUGGACAACAUGUCCAGUGUGUCAUCAGCGGUGACUUCCUGACUAAAGAAGAAACCCUGCCCUUCAUCAUACAGGUCUACUUCUCCCCACAGAAGUGAACAUUAGAGUGAUUUCAGAGGACUCGUUUGAGGGUUUGACAGAAGCCAAACCAAACGCAAAAUUUACCUGGAGCAGAUCUGGCCAGUCGUUGCUGCAGUCUGCUGUCAAAGUAGAUGGUGCAAAGCUACAACUGCUGAGUCUGACUUCUGAUCUAAAUGGCCUCUAUCAGUGUGAAGCAUCUAAUGCAUAUGGAAGAAAACACGGUCAGCUGUAUGUGCGUGUGGCAUCAGGAGCAUGCUCUGCUGCUUGGGCCUUAUUUGGUGUUCUGGUUUUCCUGAAUGUCACUGGGGCUGCUGCAUGGUGCUUUUAUAAUUCUGCAUAUCUUAUAAGUUUUCUUAGGAGACCAGAUAACAGGAGAACAGAUGAUGAUCAUGGACCAGAAGAUGACGGAAGGCAUGUAUCAUUGUUGCCUUACAGUGCUGGAGAUGAUCAUGGACUACAUGAUGCCCGCCAACUCCCAGAGGUGCACAUGAUGAUCAGGGACCAUCUAGGAGAACAGAUGAAUAUCAUGGACCAGAAGAUAAUAUAAGACAUGGAUCACUGUCAACUAGCAGUGCUGGAGGUGAUCAAUAAUAAUAAUAAUAAUAAUGGAUUGGAUUUAUAUAGCGCUUUUCAAUGCCAUUAUUCAUUCACGCUCACAUUCAUACACUGGUGGAGGCAACACCAGUAGGCGGUAGGGUAAAGUGUCUUGCCCAAGGACACAACAACCAGGACAGAAAGGCCGGGGAUCGAACCGGCGACCUUCCGGUUACAGGUGCGCUUCCCAACCCCUUGAGCCACGGUCGCCCCGUCAAGGACAACAUAUUGCCACACCAUCCCCCAGAAGAGCAGAAGUUCAUCACAGACCAAAUGAUGACGGGUAGCAGUGCAGUGGUGGUGGCAGUGUGACAGUAUUUCAAGUAGGUAACCCAAUCCUGCCAUGUCAUGUUAUUGAUAUCGAUGGCAUCACUAGUGAUGGGAUUAAUAGCAUUAUUUUUUUUUCAGUAAUUAGUAAUCUAACAAAUUACUAUUUCUAUUGUUACAACACUGUUACAAUUACUAACAAGACAAUGCAGUGCAGGUGAUGAUUUUAAAGGCAAAAAUUGAACUCUUCAGUUAAUCAAUGUUACCCUGAAGGAUGACGGCAGAUACACAUGCAUCUUUACCUAGUUCAAUCAGAAGAUCAGCUAUAUCUCUUAGAGCAGGGGUAGGCAACUCGUGUCCAGUGUGUCUUCAGUGGUGACUUACUGCCUAAAGAAGAAACCCUGACCUUCACCAGGCAGAUCUACUAAGUGACCAUUGAAGCAAUUUCGACCACCUUUUUUUCGACCAAAAUCAAUGAAACUUCAGGGAUAUGAAAUGAAAGUGGCAACAGGUGUGUUUGACAGGCAAUGAUAAGACAACGCUCUAAACAGGAAUAGGUAUUAAACUGCACAGUGCUGGCUUGUGAGCACAAAUCUCACUAAAUGAUGUAAGACCACAUGCCACCUUCAUGCAGUCUGAUUCUGACAGUUUGGUCAGAUAUAUGCACAUAUAUUCUCCACAUUCUUGAGACUGUGCUCAGAGACACAGCAAGCUUUCUUGCAAGAGCAUGUGUGGAUUUGCCAUCCUGGAGGAGCUGGAUUAUCUGUGUGACCUGAAAGGCUUGCAGCUACCAUCUCAUGCUACCAGCUAAACUAGAAAAUGGUAAGGAGAGAAAAACAUUCUCUGGAAAUCCCCUCGUAUAACCAUUGACCUUCCUGGGUAUUGCCUAGAACUAGAAAGAGUUUCAUUUUACAGAAGAAAACUAAAUGUCGUGACUCAAACAACGGGAAUCGAUAGAUCUGGGGACCAAUGAUGGACAUUAGAUCAACUGCGAAAUUGGAAUGCAGUU